rnacentral:lncRNA from 1 species
GGCAAAAGCUCAACAGAUGUCAUUCAGGGCUCGGUUGAUGUACAACCUACCACUAGUGACCAUGACAAGGAGAGCCAGCACUGCAGCACAAGUGCCCAUUCUGACGAUUGCCAUGCCGAAGACGCAACUUCACCCGUGUGUGAAAAUAAACUGCAUUCCAGAAGCAAAAAGAAUGCUCCCAUAAAACACACAUGGAGCGCCACACGCCAGCUACCUAUAUUCUCGAACGGCCUGCUGCCGCUUCUUGAAGGAAAUAUUCCUCCUGAUGACAUCCGGCACAAACGUUUAUCCAUGCAGAUGCGGCAUGAACUCAUCGCUUUUUUGAAUUCACAAAAAUUGAUCACUGACGCAUCAGACGCUGUCCGGCGAUGGAAGUACAACGAUCUCGGUCGGUACAUUGCUGAAAAAUAUCCAGACAUGGCGUGGGAAGUUUCAAGCCCUGGAACACGUCUUCGGUUCAGUGGAAGGAAUAAAUGGG